GGCUGGUCUGAAGGUAGUGAGUUAUCUCAAUUGAUUGUUCACAGUCAGUUACAGAUCGAACUCCUUGUUCUACUCUUUCCCCCCUUCUCACUACUGCACUUGACUAGUCUUUA
rnacentral:Y_RNA from 1 species